rnacentral:rRNA from 1 species
AACGAACGCUGGCGGCAUGCUUAACACAUGCAAGUCGAACGCUCCUGAAGGCUUCGGCCUUCUGGGGAGUGGCGCACGGGUGAGUAGCGCGUGGGAACCUGCCCUGUUGUGGGGGAUAACCGAGGGAAACUUCGGCUAAUACCGCAUGCGCCCGGGCAACCGGGGAAAGAUUUAUCGCAGCAGGAGGGGCCCGCGUCGGAUUAGCUUGUUGGUGGGGUAACGGCCUACCAAGGCUUUGAUCCGUAGCUGGUCUGAGAGGAUGAUCAGCCA